rnacentral:rRNA from 1 species
UCUACGGGUGGCAGCAGUAGGGAAUUUUCGGCAAUGGGGGGAACCCUGACCGAGCAACGCCGCGUGAACGAAGAAGUUAUUCGUAAUGUAAAGUUCUUUUAACAGGGAAGAAAGAGAAAUUUGACGGUACCUGAAGAAUAAGCUCCGGCUAACUGCGUGCAAGCAGCCGCGGUAAUACGGAGGGAGCGAACGUUAUCCGGAAUUAUUGGGCGUAAAGGGUGCGUAGAUGGCAGAUUAAGUCAUUGGUAAAAAUGCUGGGCUCAACCCAGUAGUGAAAAAGAUACUGAAAAUCUAGAGUAUGAGAGAGGCAAGUGGAACGACAUGUGUAGCGGUAAAAUGCGUAAAUAUAUGUAAGAACACCAGUGGCGAAGGCGGCUUGCUGGGUCGAUACUGACAUUGAGGCACGAAGGCGUGGGGAGCAAACAGGAGUAGAUACCCGUGUAGUC